GUAAGGAAUAUUGCGCAAUGGAGGCAACUCUGACGCAGCCAUGCCGCGUGCAGGAAGAAGGCGCUACGCGUUGUAAACUGCUUUUAACCGGGAAGAAACCCCAGGACGUGUCCUGGGUUGACGGUACCGGAGGAAUAAGCACCGGCUAACUUCGUGCCAGCAGCCGCGGUAAUACGAAGGGUGCAAGCGUUAUCCGGAUUCAUUGGGUUUAAAGGGUGCGUAGGCGGAGCGUUAAGUCAGUGGUGAAAUCCUGCAGCUUAACUGUAGACUUGCCAUUGAUACUGGCGCUCUUGAGUGCGCUUGAAGUGGGCGGAAUGUGCCGUGUAGCGGUGAAAUGCUUAGAUAUGGCACAGAACACCAAUUGCGAAGGCAGCUCACUAAGGCGAUACUGACGCUGAGGCACGAAAGCGUGGGGAUCGAACAGGAUUAGAUACCCGGGUAGUCC
rnacentral:rRNA from 1 species